GCUUGUCUCAAAGAUUAAGCCAUGCAUGUCUAAGUAUAAACAACUUUGUACUGUGAAACUGCGAAUGGCUCAUUAUAUCAGUUAUAGUCUACUCGAUAGUACCUUACUACUUGGAUAACCGUAGUAAUUCUAGAGCUAAUACAUGCACAAAAUCCCGACUUACGAAGGGAUGUAUUUAUUAGAUACAAACCAACAUCGUGGUGAUUCAUAAUAACUUUGCGAAUCGUAUGCCUCACGGCGACGAUGAAUCAUUCAAAUUUCUGCCCUAUCAGCUUUCGACGGUAGUGUAGUGGACUACCGUGGCGUUAACGGGUAACGGAGAAUUAGGGUUCGAUUCCGGAGAGGGAGCCUGAGAAACGGCUACCACAUCCAAGGAAGGCAGCAGG
rnacentral:rRNA from 1 species